GAUGAAGAACGUAGCGAAAUGCGAUAAGUAAUGUGAAUUGCAGAAUUCAGUGAAUCAUCGAAUCUUUGAACGCACAUUGCGCCCGCCAGUAUUCUGGCGGGCAUGCCUGUUCGAGCGUCAUUACAACCCUCAGGCCCCCGGGCCUGGCGUUGGGGAUCGGCGGAGCCCCCGGUGGGCACACGCCGUCCCCCAAAUGCAGUGGCGGUCCCGCCGCAGCUUCCAUCGCGUAGUAGCUAACACCUCGCGACUGGAGAGCGGCGCGGCCACGCCGUAAAACACCCAACUCUUCUGAAGUUGACCUCGAAUCAGGUAGGAAUACCCGCUGAACUUAAGCAUAUCAAUAAGCGGAGGA
rnacentral:misc_RNA from 1 species